rnacentral:rRNA from 1 species
GAUGAACGCUGGCGGCGUGCCUAAUACAUGCAAGUCGAGCGAACAGACGAGGAGCUUGCUCCUCUGACGUUAGCGGCGGACGGGUGAGUAACACGUGGAUAACCUACCUAUAAGACUGGGAUAACUUCGGGAAACCGGAGCUAAUACCGGAUAAUAUAUUGAACCGCAUGGUUCAAUAGUGAAAGACGGUUUUGCUGUCACUUAUAGAUGGAUCCGCGCCGCAUUAGCUAGUUGGUAAGGUAACGGCUUACCAAGGCAACGAUGCGUAGCCGACCUGAGAGGGGGAUCGGCCACACUGGAACUGAGACACGGUCCAGACUCCUACGGGAGGCAGCAGUAGGGAAUCUUCCGCAAUGGGCGAAAGCCUGACGGAGCACCGCAGCGUGAGUGAUGAAGGUCUUCGGAUCGUAAAACUCUGUUAUUAGGGAAGAACAAAUGUGUAAGUAACUAUGCACGUCUUGACGGUACCUAAUCAGAAAGCCACGGCUAACUACGUG